rnacentral:rRNA from 1 species
CCUACGGGUGGCAGCAGUGGGGAAUAUUGGACAAUGGGGGCAACCCUGAUCCAGCCAUGCCGCGUGUGUGAAGAAGGCCCUCGGGUUGUAAAGCACUUUCAGUGAGGAAGAACGCCUGGUGGUUAAUACCCAUCAGGAAAGACAUCACUCACAGAAGAAGCACCGGCUAACUCCGUGCCAGCAGCCGCGGUAAUACGGAGGGUGCGAGCGUUAAUCGGAAUUACUGGGCGUAAAGCGCGCGUAGGUGGCUUGAUAAGCCGGUUGUGAAAGCCCCGGGCUCAACCUGGGAACGGCAUCCGGAACUGUCAAGCUAGAGUGCAGGAGAGGAAGGUAGAAUUCCCGGUGUAGCGGUGAAAUGCGUAGAGAUCGGGAGGAAUACCAGUGGCGAAGGCGGCCUUCUGGACUGACACUGACACUGAGGUGCGAAAGCGUGGGUAGCAAACAGGAUUAGAUACUCCUGUAGUC